rnacentral:lncRNA from 1 species
AGAAACAUCACCUUCAUCAAAAAUCCAGCUGUACGAGACAUCAUCCUGAACCUGACCCUGACGGCCCUUGCUCCUGAAUUUGAAGACUUUGAGCCUGAAGACUUUGAGCUGUGGUUCCAGGUCAAUUUGGCCACUGUGAUGGCCAGCCUCCAUCCUGGCAGCUUGGCAGUGAUCCCCAGCAACAUCAGCUGUGAAUCCUAUGCAGCUAUGUAAGCCAGGAUAUUUCUCAAGUCCAAAGUCAAACAAUAUGUGUUUGCAUGAGGUCAAACUGUGAAUCCAGACGAGUCACAAAAAAUUGUGUUUUCUUCCCUCAGACUCACUGGUCUUCGAAAAAGCUUGAAAUCCCUGCCACUGGACAUUUCAGAUGGUCUGAGAUCGGGCAUAGAGUCAUUCAAGGAGACCUUCCCACGUACGUUGACAUCGUUUUUUCAGACAAGCCGAUUACGACUGCUUGUGUUGAUAGCUGCAUUGAUGCCAUGCCUUCUUUCCAUUUUUGCCCCAAACAGGUUGCGCAGUUGCACAUUCCUUGAUGUGCCAGGAGACCCAGGUUGAUGAGCGCCUCAUCUGUGCUGCAUUCAAUCGAUCGCAGCUGGAACAAACCUUGUCGGUUGGCAAUGUCUCCGAGGUCCUGUGCAACUUCACCAUCACUAUGCACGCCUGUUCCUCGGCUAAACAUCUCACACCCAGCAACUUGGCGGCACUACAGGCAUGCUCACUGGAAGGCCAAAGGACAUACCCGGUAGAGGUCUGGAAGCUUCUCUUCCAAAAGGCUUUGACUUCAUUAGACCAGGCUCUGGAAUUAUUUGCCACCACGGUAAAUCCAGUCCCACAAUUU